GAAGUAAACGAACGAACAUUGCCCUAUGUGCAGGGGAUAUCUAAGGACAAAUGGUAAUAUCUGCAACCGCCCAUGGAUAUUUGAAGAACUUCCCUACGAGAAAGGGUAAACCAGCGCCCAGCUGAACUUGAUCGAAAUUUGUGAAACUUCUCCGAAAAAUCCUGUCGCAUGCCUGAAAUGCCUGCUGUAAUUUAACCCAGCGUUCUCAAGGUACGUACGAUGCAGAAAUGCAAAGCAGGGCCAAACAUGCUGCAUUUAAUGGGUACGAAGACGGUGUGAGGAACAACAUAACAGCUCUCUUCCUGGUGGCAGCCAUGGAGCACCUAGGGGCUUCAUUAAGUGUCAGAUAUCCCUGACGGCUUCAUACCUGACCACAUAACCAUGGGCUCUGAAGAGGGGAAAAAAGGAACAGGCUACAUCCGGUAGUGGCCCGGGUGGUCAACAAAUGCCAUUUUCCACAUGCAGUCCAGGAGGGAGACGUAUAACUAUACUGUAGAUUUGAUAUUUUUACAAGGCCUUUAGCCACAGUGUGCCCACAGCGCACUGCUCGUAAUUCUGCAGGUAAAUUUCACUCUUUCGCAUCGCUUAGCCCACAGCACCUUAACAACUUGAAGUCAUUUUUAGAACAUAGUUGUCCCGGUCUCACUGAAACAAACAGCAGAUUGGACCAGCAUGUCUAUUGGACUGCAGAAAAUCAUGGUGAACAGACAGACAAAUGCACACUGGAGCACAUUAUGUUGCUAGUCACACAGAGGAUAUUUUCAGAGAGGCUGAGUUGUUUUCACCCCCCCAUCUAGUCAUGACAUUCUGAUAAAUCGCAAAAGCAGUAACCUGUGGCGCAGGAUCAAAGCUAAAUUGAAAGAGCGCCAAGACUAAUAUAAAAUUGGUGGAGUAAAUGCAUGUACUGUAAUAAUGUAUGUAAAUAAUUUGUGUAUGUAAGUAGUGUAUAUAAAAUAACCCAGUGCAACUUUUUUUCCAUAAGAUUCUGUUGCCUU